CAGCGGAGCGUGUGGUUUAAUUCGAUGAUACACGAAGAACCUUACAGGGUUUGACAUGCUAGUGGUAGGGAUCCGAAAGGUGACCGACCCCUCGGGGAGCUAGCACAGGUGCUGCAUGGCUGUCGUCAGCUCGUGUCGUGAGAUGUUCGGUUAAGUCCGCUAACGAGCGCAACCCUCGCUGUGUGUUAUAUGUGUCACACGGGACUGCCGGUCUUAAGCCGGAGGAAGGUGGGGAUGAUGUCAAGUCAGCAUGGCCUUUAUAUCCUGGGCUACACACACGCUACAAUGGCCAACACAAUAGGUUGCUAAGCCGCGAGGUGGCGCCAAUCCAUAAAGUUGGUCUCAGUUCAGAUUGUAGGCUGCAACCCGCCUGCAUGAAGAUGGAGUUGCUAGUAACCGCAGGUCAGCUAUACUGCGGUGAAUACGUUCCCGGGGCUU
rnacentral:rRNA from 1 species